rnacentral:rRNA from 1 species
AUUGAACGCUGGCGGCAGGCCUAACACAUGCAAGUCGAGCGAGCGGCGGACGGGUGAGUAAUGUAUGGGGACUGCCCGAUAGAGGGGGAUAACUACUGGAAACGGUAGCUAAUACCGCAUACCAUCGGAUCACCCAGAUGGGAUUAGCUAGUUGGUGAGGUAAUGGUUCACCAAGGCGACGAUCCCUAGCUGGUCUGAGAGGAUGAUCAGCCCCACUGGGACUGAGCCACGGCCCCGACUCCUCCGGAGGCAGCAGUGGGGAAUAUUGCACAAUGGGCGCAAGCCUGCUGCAGCCAUGCCGCGUGUAUGCAGAAGGCCCUCGGGUUGUAAAGUCCUUUCAGUCGGGAGGCGUUACCGACAGAAGAAGCACCGGCUAACUCCGUGCCAGCAGCCGCGGUAAUUC